AAGAGCCUCAGCUGCCGCGUGCCUUCUGUCUGCUGUGGGCCCAGCAGCUGCACAGACCCCUCUUGUUGGGAGACAAGACAGGGCUCUUUCUCUCCCGUGACCUCAGCCUCAUCUCCAAUCGUGGGGAAGAGAGAAACUGAAAUUCUUCCUGUGACUGAACACAUGAGAAUGCAACAGUUACUUGGGGUAACAGGUUUCCUGUGGGUCCUGUGUGAAGAGUAUGCAUUCAUUCCAGUGUCGGGGAGGGGAGAAGAAUGAGGAGGAGGCAGUCCCAUGUGGAUGUCAGUGUGAUGAUUAGGAUGCCUGAUGCUUCCGAAACAAGAAUACACUUUACGAAAAUGCCCAUUGAAAAUACUUUUUCCUUUCUACUCUUGUGCUAAGAGUGCCUGUUUGGACCCCAUGGCUUCGUAAUGGAGAGACUCCUAAGGCCUUCAGCGAUCUGGCAAACUACUUGAAGAUGAGACAAGUUGGCUCUUGAGGAACAUGUAGGGUUGAAGCCAGCAGUGAAGAAAGGAGAUCAUGCAAUCAACCCUUCACUUGAGAGACUGCUAAAAUAAAAAUAAAGCCAUAAUUUUUCAACCUGAAUAAGUACUGGCAAAAAUGAUUUCCUCCCCUCUUCUGAGCAAGCUGAUGUUACAGGCAAACCAGCUGGCAGCUUGAGCAGAAAGCUCAUUUUGGCCCCUUUAAAUACGUGGGUGUUUUCCAAAUGUUCAAUCUGGCUCCCCACUACAUUAAUGAGCCAUUUGCCUUGCUGAGAUAAUCACUACCCUGUGGUCAUGAAGGGGAAGAAAGGAAUGAGAGCUGGAUGGGCUGAAACAUGUACCCAGUUGAGGACCUCCCAGAGGGCAGCCUGGGCUUUAGUGACAGCUCCAAGAUGUGGCACUGCACACACCACCCACUUCCUGUUUGGCUGCAUUUUAACCCCGCUCUUGGUCCAAGUGGGUACAGGCACACUGUGAUAAGGAACUGCUGAAUGAAAACAUGCUUAAAUCUACGAACUCCAUUUUCAAAAGCAUCCUAGGGAAGUAGUGAAGGGUGCCCAUGGGCUAUAACUUUUAUUCAAAAUGUUCAUAAUGAACAGAGUUGUUUAACACUUUUUCAAAUCUAACCUGUGAAUGUCGCCACCACUUUGCCUUCUUUGAGCAUCACACCAUUGAGUUAAUGGUAUGAUGAACCUUCUUGUCCCAGAGUUUGAUUACAUCAAGAGUGUUUAGGUUUUUUUCUUUAAAGAUUAGAACAUUUUAUGCAAACAAAAUCUUAGAAAUAAUGCUAAUUUGUAAGUGAUAAAGCAUGCUAGUUGCCAACUCAAUGUUUACUCUCCCCUUCUUUCUUAUUAACAAAUCCCUAAUUUUUAUUUGGGAUGGCAGUAUGCUCAACUG
rnacentral:lncRNA from 1 species